rnacentral:misc_RNA from 1 species
GGGGACCUAUCUUCCCUGUGAAAGUCAAAAGAUCGUAAUUGUGAAUUUUAAUCAAGAAGAGAUCUAAAACCUAAAACCCUAGCUCUGCCAAUUCGACGAUCAUCACAUUAUUGAACAACCUGCAGAUUUCUCAUUAUUGAGGAGGCUACUAAUUCUGAGGAUUUAUCAAUGGCGGUGCCAGUGGUAAGGUUUCCGAUUUUCUUAUUGGUGAGAGUAAUCGGAAUUGCGGUGGCAGCGUUGGUGUUGAUUUGGAAUGUCCAUUACAGAGGAGGUUUAGCACUCAUCUCUGACAACAAAGCUCUCAUCUUUAACGUUCAUCCUGUUUUAAUGGUUAUCGGCCUUGUCCUUCUAAAUGGUGAAGCAAUGCUGGCGUACAAGACAGUCUCAGGAACAAAGAGCUUCCGGAAAUCAGUUCAUCUUGUCCUGCAGUUCUUGGCUUUCUUUUUGAGUCUAAUUGGUCUAUGGGCUGCUUGGAAGUUUCAUAAUGACAAAGGAAUCGACAAUUUUUACAGUCUUCACUCAUGGUUGGGCUUAUUUUGCCUUUUUCUAUUUGGCGUCCAGUGGGCUGUCGGUUUUGCAACUUUCUGGUAUCCAGGCGGUUCAAGGAACAGCAGAGCGACUCUUCUACCAUGGCAUGUCUUUUUUGGCAUCUAUAUAUACGCCCUUGCUAUUGCUACCUGUGCUACUGGCUUCUUAGAGAAAGCUACAUUCCUUCAAGCAAGCCACAUAAUCUCACGCUACUCCACCGAGGCAUUGCUAGUGAACUGUUUGGGUGUCUUGACUGUUGUUUUGGGUGGAUUGGUUAUUCUCGCUGUCGUCUCUCCUAUGAAUGGAAGAAGUGACAUUAUAAGAGGACCAGCAGAAUAAACACUAGUUCUCGAUGUGUAUUUCAAACUUCAAUUUUGAGAUAAAGAGGUUAUAUCAAACUUCAUGUAUGGAAGGGUUUAAUUUUAUUUGAUAAAAAAGAGAGAUGUAAGAAAAUGUUUAUUAAACUCAAAAUAUAUGAUCAGGUAACGU